UAUGUUGAGCCUUCGAAAUAACAGUAGAAAACUGAUGAUCAAUGCUGGCGUGCUAGCAGCGCUUUGGAUUCUUUUAUUUUAAAAACAGAUCUUUACUAUUACUAUACAAAAAAACGAGGGUUUUGACUUUUGGGUCGGGGCAUGGUCGGGCGUUAUGAGCAUCGGGCGUAAGAUGAUUUUCCGCCCGGUGGGACUACCAUCUGUCGACAAAUGCAUUUACUGCGUGGAGUGAAACAACACACCCUGUAAGAGUCGCUCCCAUCGGGCGGAAAAUCACUCUUUCGUCCCGACCGCCCCGACCCCAAAACACCCCGUUUUUUUUAAUAGCAAUCCCCGCAAGAGGGUACCCCUUCUCUGAGAGGGAAAAUAGCCAUAGUGGAGGAACCAAGGGUCUAUCACUCUGAUAAAAACUUAAAAUUGACUAAGUAGACAAAAACAGUUCACAAUCAGGUUAAAUUAAUUUUAGUCCAACUCAAACAACACAAGCCUUGCUUUCCCAAAAGCAAGGGGAUUGCAUUUUGUGCUUGUCUUCAACAUCUUAGGGGGAUAUCUUUCUUUUAAGAAGUCAACAUCAGUGAAGGAUACACCACAAUAUAUUGCAGUAAAUACCGGUUUCAAAGGCUCCAAGGAUCUAUCGUAUCGCCAUGCUGACGGUGCUGGAGUAUCAUACCCAAUUAUUGCACUGCAGGGCCGUUAAAAUGGCGCAUUAACGGUAGCCUUAAAUCAGGCACAAAACAAAGUUUCUGAUACGAAGAAAAACUUAGCAAACUUGUAGAAUUUAAAAACUACGGUGGGAAACCUAUCUCGGUGACCAUUUGCUUACAUUCUCACCGGGUCACACCCGCACGAGAAAUUACAGACAAUGGGUAACAGUCUGACACGGCGGCAGUUUAUGAUAGUAUGUGCCAACAGAUGAGCUCUGGGCCAGUAGAACAAGAUGGCCGCAGGCCGCCAUUCCGCCAUAGAAAUGAAGAGCUUUAUUCUUUGACUUGUACUAAUAAUCAAGUGUAAUUGAAUUAAGAUAAAAAACCGAAUUUGUGUUGCCGGUUUAAGUUCUAAUUUAUGUACUGGUUCUUAUUGCUGGGAUCUGCACGUGUGAGAUAUCGUCCAAUACACGAACCUUUGAAUCGCGAAA